UACGUAGGGUGCAAGCGUUCCUCGGAAUUACUGGGCGUAAAGCGUGCGCAGGCGGUUUUGUAAGUCUGUCGUGAAAUCCCCGGGCUCAACCUGGGAAUUGCGAUGGAGACUGCAAGGCUAGAAUCUGGCAGAGGGGGGUAGAAUUCCACGUGUAGCAGUGAAAUGCGUAGAGAUGUGGAGGAACACCGAUGGCGAAGGCAGCCCCCUGGGUCAAGAUUGACGCUCAUGCACGAAAGCGUGGGGAGCAAACAGG
rnacentral:rRNA from 1 species